rnacentral:rRNA from 1 species
AGCAGCCGCGGUAAUUCCAGCUCCAAUAGCGUAUAUUAAAGUUGUUGCAGUUAAAAAGCUCGUAGUUGAAUUUCGGGGUCAGUAGGUCGGUCGUGCCACUGGUAUGAACUGGUUUUACUGAUUCCUCCCUCUUGAAGAACUGUAAUGCCAUUAAUUUGGUGUUGCAGGGAAUCAGGACUGUUACUUUGAAAAAAUUAGAGUGUUUAAAGCAGGCUUUAGCUUGAAUACAUUAGCAUGGAAUAAUGAAAUAGGACGUUUGAUCCUAUUUUGUUGGUUUCUAGGAUUGACGUAAUGAUUAAUAGGGAUAGUUGGGGGCAUUAGUAUUCAAUUGUCAGAGGUGAAAUUCUUGGAUUUAUUGAAGACUAACUACUGCGAAAGCAUUUGCCAAGGAUGUUUUCAUUAAUCAAGAACGAAAGUUAGGGGAUCGAAGACGAUCAGAUACCGUCGUAGUCUUAACCAUAAACUAUGCCGACUAGGGAUCGGAUGAUGUUAAUUUUUUUUAAUGACUCA